CCUCACUCUCUUCUACCGUGUAUCCUCCUCCGCCGCCGCAGCGCCGCCCGCACGCCAUACCUACUGCUGUACUCCACAGGAGCGGAGCGGAGAUCUUCCUCUUCUUCUCGGUAGCCCCCGGCGAGUUCUCGGCAGGUGGUCGGGCGCCGUCUCUGUUUUGCGGCCGCCACACCACAUGCCGCUCACGCCAAUGGCCCAAGCGCAGACGCCGGAGCCACAAGGCGGCGCUGUCGGCAGACCCGGGAAGGAGAAGCAGCGGAUACUCUCUGUUGUGGACAAUCAUUUUGACCUGUGCCGGCCAGAUGGGUUUACAGACAGAGGUGACUGCAGAUGCAAAUUGCUGAAUUUUUUUGACCUGCUCUUUGUAUGAAACGCCCAUGUCUAAUGAAUGCACUUGGAGUUGGGAGGAUCUAAAGCUCAGCAGAGCAUUCUAGUUUCAGCACCAUCACUUGGUCAUUUGGUCUCUACAGGAUGGUUCUCAACAGGCAAGAAUCUUCCCCUUUGCUCAACAUUUAUUUAUUUUCAACUUAUUUUAUGGCACAUUACAUAGUUGAUAGUGAAACCAGAAAGGUUAACUGUUAAUCGUGCAUCUACGAAAAGACUGUAGGAAACUCUCCUACAGUCAUUCACAUUUAUAAAAAAAAAAAUCGUGCAUCUACAAAAGUGUGAGCCAUUGCGUCUUGUAUUCCGUAUCCUGCUUAGUGGACAUAGUCUGUAACCAUUUUGUGUCAGGUUAACUUAAUUGUUUUGGUUCGGCUAUACAAAAUUGACCUUGCUGGUCCGCAUUAUCCAUGAGUUCACUGAUGUCUCAGCUUCUGAUUUUAAGAACCCUUCCACUGUACUUUUUCUAUUAAGAAAGGGAAAUCUUUGAAUGGCCUGAUACUUUCAUGUAUGUCUUGGCACAAAACAUGGAAAGAUUGAGCUGCAUCAUAGUACAUAUUGGUAGUACAUAUAUCAAUUCAACAACUUACAGUAUUAUCAGUUAGGAACAUAAUCAGAAUGUACAGUUGCGCAGACAUAUAUAUGAAACUGCUAAACAGCAGACCCGCUAGUACAUAAGGAGCAAAUCCACCUGUAAGUUGUAAAUCUUAAUCUACCUGCUUUACAAAAUCAGCAGAUCAUAACUAAAAGUCCUGAACGUACAGGAGUUCCUUCUUAUCGGCCAUCUGGAUGCAUGAUCUCUGAGAAUACAGCUUUCUUUCCUGAGAGGCUCAUUGUUGAACCUGAAGAUGGUCGCACCAUGGGGGCCAUGAGUGAUGGCAUGUUCAAUAAUGGUGUAUCCUCAGAGAGGUUCUGGUCGUCCUCCUGCAGCUGUAGUGCGGCCUGGAGGCUCCACAGAACAUCACCCAUAGAUGGCCUAUCCAGGCUAUGUUCAGCAACACAUUGCUCUGCAGUCUCUGCAAAUUUCUGAAGCACUGGGGGUGAUUUUGUCCAUAAGAUAGGGGUCGAUGAUCUCGUUGAGCACGCCUUUCCUCUGGCAAGACAGCGCCCAUUCACGCAAGCCCACUUGCUCCUCAAACAAAACAACCCCAAAGGAGUACACAUCUGAUUUGUUGGUGAGUCUCUGCCGUGGGAAGUACUCAGGAUCUAGAUAUCCAAAGGUGCCUUUCACAACAGUGCUCACAUGGGUGUUGUCCACAUCGGCAGUAGCCUUAGAUAACCCAAAGUCGGAAACCUUUGCGACCCACUUGUCAUCCAACAGAAUGUUGGUACUCUUCACAUCACGGUGGAUGAUGGUCCGCUGCGCACCGGUGUGCAGGUAGUGCAGCCCCAGUGCGGCUCCAAUGCAUAUCACAAGACGGUGCCCCCAUGGCAAUGGUGGUUUGUCGGUGUUGUACAAGUGCUCCUGAAGUGUCCCAUUGGACAUGUAAUCAUAUAGCAAGAUCAUCUCGGACUCUUCAUCGCAAUAGCCAAUCAGUGACCACUAGUGCAGAACCGGGCAAUAGCAUCGGUUCGUAAGGCCCUUUAGUG